UUUGCCUCCCGGGCGCAACCCCGCCGCCGGCGCAUCGCAUCAUCCUCUUCCGCCGCUCUUCGGCAGCCCAACCAUGGCAGGCGGAAGCAGCGGCGGUGCCACGGGCUCCAUCCAUCCAUCCAUUCGCUGGGCGGUUGAUGCCGUUGUCUGAUGGAGCUAUUAGCAUCGCCAACUACGACAUCCCUGGCCUCGUUGGCAUGUUGUCUCCCUUUCGUCAUCUCUCGGUUAAGGAACAGAUGGAAAUCGUAAGAAAGAAUCCGGAAUCAUUCAGGAAGUUCCCAAGCAAGAAGAGGGCGAGGAGGAAGAGGAUGAAGAGUAUGACGAUGAGGUCGACGAGGUUUGUGACGAUGAAGAUGAGGAUGAUGAGGUGGAUGAAGUUGAGGAGGAAGACAAGGGGGAAGAUGAGGAGACACUGAAGAUGAUGGUCGACGACAAUAAACUGGCAACUGAUGUACAGCGUCAAGUCCCUAAUGAAGGCGAACGAGAGUGCAAGAAGCCAGCAGGAUUAGAUGUUACGGCAGGCGUGCAGUAUGCAGGUCGUGGCAAGGUCUGCAGGUUCAGGCAUGACAGGAUGGUAUCUAGUUUGUUACAAGUUUGUUUAGAGUUUGGCAAUGGGAAGACUAGUUAGUUCGGAUAGUUGUUUGGUUUACUAGAGAGCUUGUUCGUGGACUUAUUACAUGAUGAAGGGCAAAGGCAUUGGCCUACAUGUGUAAAGGCUAUUGUAACUGGAACGGCAAGCAAUAGAUUGAAUCUUUCUUCCCAAUCUUCUGCUGGAGCCAUGGAAGCUUUUCUUUAA